AAGUGACCACAACAACCAGAACUGUGCUGAUCCAAAGCCAGGACCAAGGAGCUUCAUCUGGGUCUCCCACGCAAGUGCAGGGUCCCAAGGCUUUGUGUUGU